UGCCUCAAUACAUGCAAGUCGAGCGAAUGGAUUGAGAGCUUGCUCUCACGAAGUUAGCGGCGGACGGGUGAGUAACACGUGGGUAACCUGCCCAUAAGACCGGGAUAACUUCCGAGGCAAAACGCGAGGGUCUAAUACCGGAUAACAUUUUGAACUGCAUGGCUUCGAAAUUGAAACGGCGGCUUCGGCUGUCACUUAUGGAUGGACCCGCGUCUCACUAGCUAGUUGGUGAAGUAACGGCUCUCCAACGCAUCGAUGCAUAUCCUACCUGAGAGGGCGAUCCGCCAGACUGUCACGAACCCAAAUCCAAGUCUGGAACCCUGGACAGCAGUAUGGAAUCUUCCGCAAUGGACGAAAGUCUGACCGAUCAACGCCUCGUGAGUGAUGAAUGCUGUCGGGUCGUAAAACUCUGUUGUUAGGGAAGAACAAGUGCUAGUUGAAUAAGCUGGCACCUUGACGGUACCUAACCAGAAAGCCACGGCUAACUACCUGCCAGCAGCCGCGGUAAUACGUAGGUGGCAAGCGUUAUCCAGAAUUAUUGCGCGUAAAGCGCGCGCAAGUGGUUUCUUAAGUCUGAUGUGAAAGCCCACGGCUCAACCGUGGAGGGUCAUUGGAAACUGGGAGACUUGAGUGCAGAAGAGGAAAGUGGAAUUCCAUGUGUAGCGGUGAAAUGCGUAUAGAUAUGGAGGAACACCAGUGGCGAAGGCGACUUUCUGGUCUGUAACUGACACUGAGCCAUAAUCAAAGUCUGGAUCCAUGAGAUUAGAUACGCUGGUCGUC
rnacentral:rRNA from 1 species